GCAUUGGUGGCUCAGUGGUAGAAUUCUCACCUUCCAUGUAGAAGACAGGGGUUCAAUUCCUUUUCAAUGUA
rnacentral:tRNA from 1 species